GACAGAGGGUGCAAACGUUGUUCGGAAUUACUGGGCGUAAAGCGCGUGUAGGCGGCCAUCUAAGUCGGGCGUGAAAUCCCACGGCUCAACCGUGGAAGUGCACUCGAAACUGGAUGGCUAGAGUCCUGGAGAGGAAGGUGGAAUGCUUGGUGUAGAGGUGAAAUUCGUGAGAUAUUGGGAAGAACACCGGUGGCGAAGGCGGCGACCUGGUCCGUGACUGACGCUGAGGCGCGAAAGCGUGGGAGCGAACAGG
rnacentral:rRNA from 1 species